UCUAGGUGAGGAUUUUCAUCAUCC
rnacentral:siRNA from 1 species